UCUCCGUUGGUGAACCAGCGGAGGGAUCAUUACAGGACUCGCAAGACUCCUUCACCCUGUGAACCUCACUACAAGCACGUUGCUUCGGCGGGUGUCCCGGCGGUGGUUUUCCCUCGCCGGGGCGCCCAGCCCGCCGGCAGCCUACUAUACCCUGUCUCUUUGCGUUGGCAUCUCGAGAAAAAACAAACAAGUUAAAACUUUCAACAACGGAUCUCUUGGUUCUG
rnacentral:misc_RNA from 1 species